GCGGAGGAAAAGAAACCAACAGGGAUUGCCCUAGUAACGGCGAGUGAAGCGGCAACAGCUCAAAUUUGAAAUCUGGCGUCUUUGGCGUCCGAGUUGUAAUUUGCAGAGGGCGCUUUGGCGUUGGCAGCGGUCCAAGUUCCUUGGAACAGGACGUCACAGAGGGUGAGAAUCCCGUACGUGGUCGCUGGCCUUCGCCGUGUAAAGCCCCUUCGACGAGUCGAGUUGUUUGGGAAUGCAGCUCUAAAUGGGAGGUAAAUUUCUUCUAAAGCUAAAUACUGGCCAGAGACCGAUAGCGCACAAGUAGAGUGAUCGAAAGAUGAAAAGCACUUUGGAAAGAGAGUCAAACAGCACGUGAAAUUGUUAAAAGGGAAGCGCUUGCAGCCAGACUUGCCUGUAGUUGCUCAUCCGGACUUUUGUCCGGUGCACUCUUCUAUAGGCAGGCCAGCAUCAGUUUGGGCGGUUGGAUAAAGGUCUCUGUCAUGUACCUCUCUUCGGGGAGAACUUAUAGGGGAGACGACAUGCAACCAGCCUGGACUGAGGUCCGCGCAUUUGCUAGGAUGCUGGCGUAAUGGCUGUAAGCGGCCCGUCUUGAAACACGGACCAAGGAGUCUAACAUCUAUGCGAGUGUUUGGGUGUCAAGCCCGAACGCGUAAUGAAAGUGAACGGAGGUGGGAACCUUUUCGGGGUGCACCAUCGACCGAUCCUGAUGUCUUCGGAUGGAUUUGAGUAAGAGCAUAGCUGUUGGGACCCGAAAGAUGGUGAACUAUGCUUGAAUAGGGUGAAGCCAGAGGAAACUCUGGUGGAGGCUCGCAGCGGUUCUGACGUGCAAAUCGAUCGUCAAAUUUGGGCAUAGGGGCGAAAGACUAAUCGAACUAUCUAGUAGCUGGUUCUGC
rnacentral:sRNA from 1 species